CACCCCAGACAAAUGCCUCAAGGUAGGUGUGAUGAUUUGGGGCUUUGGAGCCUUCUUUAGGGUUCCUGUGCCUAGUGGGGGAUGCUGUGAGGAUAAAUAUUAUUAAAAGUUUGAAGCUGUUGGCCACAUUAUUAUAUAUGUUAACUGUUUAAUGACUUGAGACAUGGUGAUACCCUGUCUUACAGUGGCCAGCACAGAGUCUCUAAUUUCAGCUGGGUGACCAGAGAAGUUUUCUGAGAUUUCUUUCUAUCACACUUGCUAAACUUUCUCCACCACACACAGAGACACUUUUAUUUGACCUUAUGCUGGAGGCCAACCUGUCUCUGAAUAUUUUGGCCUGUUGAACAGCCAGCAUCUGUAUUCUUCAGGGCCUUGCAUAACCUCAAAGACCACGGAUGUUUUUAGCUGGAUAGGACUCAAAAUUUUCUUUUUCCAGUUUUUAAGGUUUUCUGCCAAAACACCUACUUUGUUUAUGCACCAGUAUCAUCAGUGAGACUGGCAUGGCCCUGGCAAUGUGUUACUUAACUAACACGAGAGAUUUUGCAGAAGGGAGAUAAAACAUGCUUUGUAUGCUUGUGCAAAGCUCAGCUAUUAAGAGUCUGAUUGUAAUUUCGUUUACACAGUUGCAAGUUGGGAACAAUUCCAAUGAAGUCAACAAUUAUACAGGAUUCAAGUGGUGUUAAGUGAGAUCAGAAACAGGCUCUUAACUUCCUCUGGCCUUUUGUAGUCUCAUUAUACCUAUAACAUACAGAUUUAAGGUUAAAGCCACAAGACUUCUGUUAGAGCUAAGUGUCAUCCUCUCAAAAUCACAUCUAGCAGAAUGAUUUUGAAAUCUUUUGGGACUGCAAGCACUAACGAAGUUUGCUAUUACUUAGAGAAGGCUAUUUUUAAUUACUUCUUUUUAAAAAAGUCUGGAUCUGUUUACUUUGAGAGUUUGUGAGUACUCUAGGUAGAAUCCAUUUUAUUUAACAGUGUAGUCAGUGCUCCUCCUCUUAUUCUGCGCAUCUCCUGGUAACUGGGACAAUAAAUAUGUUUAAAACAGGUUUUACUAGAAAAAAAGAGAAAAUUGACAGGGUAUUUGAGUAUAGGUCAUAUCCCUACUAUGAUUUUUCCUGUUUUUAAAGCCUAGACCUUGAAUUGCUUGUGUUCUGCUGACAAUCUGAUUUUAGAUAAGAAAAACAGAGAAAUAUGGGGUGACACAGUCAUCUAGCCCUAGUAGAAAACAAUGAAAAGUCUGGCACUAGUUUUGGAGGUAAUUGAUGAGAUCUGCACAAUAAAUAGACAGUGUGUGCAAUAGACCUAGGUCUAGAAUUUAAACAGGGGGCUUUACCACAGAAUUAUCCUACUUAUACGUGCUGAGAAAUGCUUUGGCUCACUGAGAUUGAUAGAUAUACUCCAAGGAGACCACAUUUUCGCUGUGUCCUGUACCUGAAAGCCUCAACACUGUUUCCCAGGGGGACCACAACAUGAGCCAACCAGAGUCUGUGUAUAAGGUAUCCUGUGAUCCAAAAAUUCCUCCAGGUGCAAGGAACACUACUUGCACCACAGCAUUCAUCAGCUGGCUCCCAUCCACACUGCUUAGGGAAAACCUGUCCUCCAGCAGACACCACAUAGAUCAGCAACUGACUGUUUCAUACACUUAAAGUGAUUUUUUUGUCCGCCGUACUUCAUUGUCAUCACCAGGCAUCUAUUAAGAUCUCACAACUUUUUGAUCUCAGCUGAAAAGCAACACAGGAAAGAUAAUAGGAGAAGAAAUUAAGAUACAGUUAAGUUGAGCUACCAACCCCUAUGUGUCUCUGAACAGAACUUCACAGACCAGUUACUUGAUAGAAGUGGUAAGCAAAGGCUUUCAGUCUGAUACAGGAGAAGUUUGUCUUCAAAUUCCUGUCUUCAAAUGGUGUAGGAAGAAUAUCUUGUUGGAUUCUAUUUGUGACAUCUAUGAGAAAAGUAAUAAAAUAUCAUUUUGGUUUUAUAAAUUUCUGAAUAUGGGGCUGUAAGAAGAGAUGUUCUGGUUCCAAGCAGAACUUUUAGCCAGUAUUCUGUCUUAAAGAGCGUGUAUGUGUGUCAACAGAGAGUGAUCAGGCAUGGAAUGUCAGAGAAUGAGAUUGGGGUAAGUAGCCCGAACUCUUUCUUAAUGAUUCCCCAGCCUACCUCGAUUUUCAGCUCAGGAGAUUUCCUAAGCUUUGUGCUGUUUGUCUUUUUAACAACUUCCAUAUACUUUAAUAGAGUUGACAAAUUAAAAAUUUCACCUCUGUGUUUGGUUUAGGUGGCAAAAUUUUGCUGGUGAGGGAACAUCAUGGAUGACUUCUGUGAGAAAAGAUCAGCUUUUUCCAUGUCAGACAAAGCCAUUUCCAGCUGGCUUCAAAAUGGACCCACUGCUGCCCAAAGCUGAGCCCAUCAAUGAAGCUGGAAGGUAUCUCUAAAACAACACAAAAGAAGAAGGAAAAGGAAAAUACAAAAGGAAAGAGAGAAGAAAGAAAAAGAAACAAAAAAAGAGAAAAAGAGGAAAAAUAAAAGAAAGAGAAAAAGGAAAAGACAUGAAAAGGAAAAGGAAAAGAAAAAGAUGAAAGGAAAAAGAAAAGGAAAAAGAAAAAAGAAAAAGAAAAAGAUGAAAGGAAAAAAGAAAAAGAAAAAGAAAAAAGAAAAAGAAAGAAAAAGAAAGAAAAAGAAAAAUAUGAAAUAAAAAAGGAAAAGAAAAAGGAAAAGGAAAAGAAAAAGAAAAAGAAAAAGAAAAAGAAAAAGAAAAAGAAAAAGAAAAAGAAAAAGAAAAAGAAAAAGAAAAAGAAAAAGAAAAAGAAAAAGAAAAAGAAAAAGAAAAAGAAAAGGAAAAAGAUAAAAAGAAAAAGAAAAAGAAAAAGAAAAAGAGAAAAAGAAAAAGGAACAAACCAGUGUGUGUGGGAAGCUCCUGCUUGCCAUCUUCUGAAAACUGAGACCUCUUUGUUACAUUAUGAAAAUUGCAAAGGUGAUCUUGAGUUCUGCAGAAAAGGUUCAUGGAAUGGGAGAUCCAACCACAAACAAGUUCUGAAGUGUUUCUUCAUUCCCAUUUUCCCUGCACACCAGAUUCAACAGUGUAAUGUAAAUGUGCAGACCCUACGUGCCAAUAUAAACUCACACUGAUCGGUUUGUAGGUUUGCAGCCAACAUUUGUAUUAUCAACAAUGAAUAUAAUGGAGAGGCUGUGUGCAGUCAUACUUCAAAUUAGAUUAAAAAAUUAACACUUAAUAUGUCAUGAUUUAUAAUAGUGUAUUUUACUGACAACAGUGGUAGGCUAAUUGUUUCAAUUAGGUUGGGAUUCAUUGCUUGUUACUGGGAAUUCAUAUUGAUUAAGAGAUGAGAUACCAGAAGGUAUGCAACAAUUUUAUUGCUUCCCAGCAGUAAAAAAGAUAUGUCAAUUUAAAGAGUCUUCCAUUGCAUGCAAGUAUUUACAACACCUUUUCACAAAACCUUGCAUACUCAGUGAUUCUAAUUGUAUGUGUUUGUCUUCACUGAUCAGAUGAUCUAUUCUGGAGGAUUCAUAAAAAAUAAUAUCUGUAAUUAAGGGCUACAAACUAAUGAAUUUGAGCUGUUGUGUACAAAGCCAGUGUAUAUAAGACUUUAGACAAACAGUUUCUUGAAGUGCUUGUUGAUAUCUCUUCCUCUGAGCAUCUGGCUAAGGUUUUCUUGCUCUAUCCUGUCUAAUGGAGCUAUGUCUGUGCCUCUCUAAUCCUAUUCCUGAUGAAGUUUAAGGUGUAAAGUAUGGGGAUUGGUACUUUGGUUUUUUCUUACAAGUCGUUGUCGAGUCAAAUAAAAAAGUAGUGUCCCUUUCUCUUAGACAACUCAUAAGCCACAUUUUUUAUUGUGCCCAGUCACCCCAUUUAGCAGCUAAAAUAAGCAUGUAUAUACGGUAUCAGUGCUGAAUUUUUGGUAGCUUUUGUACUUGGUACUGAGGACUUUUGAGUCCUGAGUAAAGAAAACCAGCUUGGUUUAAGUCCAUGUUUCUCAUAUGCCAUGGUGGGGGUUGGUACAGCAGAGAUUACAGUUUGUUCUUUGAAAAUUUAUUUUCCAAGACAAAAGUUUAAAUUAAAUGAGUGGGAUUUGAAAUCACCCAAUCAGAAAAGUAAUGAAAAACAUGUUGUAGAUUCUCCUGAUGGCAGGAUUUCCCCUUCUGGAUAGUGGUGGCUUGGUUCAUUUGGUCUACCAGAAUGUCACUUCUUUCUUGAAUCCUCCUUUGGCUCCUCCGAAAGCUUCACUGCAACUGAAUGAUGUAGAGCACAACCUUCCUUGAAGGAAAAUAUGCAAGUCUCUAAUACAAGGGGAAAUGUCAUCCUCCCACUUUAUAAAAUGUCAGGUCACAUCUUGACAUUUUUGCCUUGGUACCCAUAGAAUUCCCAACAUUAGUGGAACAGCACACCCUGGGAGUCUGUUUUUUUUUUGUCUAAAAUUUCCCUCUGGAAGGAGAUGUUCAUCUGCCAGUCUUCAGUUAGCCUUCAGCCAGGUUGGUAGCACAUGGAUCCUGACAGGAGAUGGUCUUUGAAGGGUGAGCAUAACACUUUGUGCUGUUGGGAGAGGCAGGGCAGGAACAUGAUCUCGCUUUUGACUGUUGAAUAACAGAUUAUGAUUUUGAGUGCAGGAAGUAUAUGCACAUCAGAACUGAUAUAUGCAAAAACCCCAUAUCUUAAUUAUGGAAAGGUAUAUGAUUUUUCUUCCCUAUUCAUAGGAAAUCAGUAUUCUCAAAUUAUUUAAUCCAAUGUAUCUUUGAAUAAUAUAUUAGAAAAAAAACACAACUGGAAAAAACAAUUUAUACUAAAAUGUAAUAAAUCUUUAGCCUAUUUGUUGUUGAAGACACAUAUAUCAACAUUAAAACUCCUAUAUAACCAUUCUAUAAUAUGCACAAUGGAAGGUAUCUGAGAUAUAUUCUCUAAUUUCUAAUGUCAAUGAAGAAUGCACACAGAGUUUGUAUAUUCCCCUGUAUUGGGUCCUAUGGAAGGGCAACUUCUACCUUUUCUACUGUGUACAUGAGGUUGUUGGACAAAACAGCUCUAAGCCUGUGCUUUGGCCUAGGGCUGCACUGGUUUCAAGGCCUUCUUAGGUGUGAUCUCCCAGGUGACUGCAUGGUGCCAUGGUGUUUCCUUCUUAGCAAAGCAAUUCACUGGCCACAACUGACGUUGGAGAAAUCCUUGUGAGAUAUCCAGAAGCAGUAGAAGUGCGUCCACAGAUGCUGCAUUAGGAAUGUGUCAUGUGCUGGGAAGCGUCAUGUGAGGGGAUGCUUGGACUAAAUGCAAAGUGCAAGACCUGACAGAUCUGAUUAAACCACUACCUCGUAUCUUAUAAUAGGAGGGCAAAGACUAGUACUUAUUCUUUCAAUGAAGAAUUAUUUUUUUAGGCAAGAUUCAGUACAUUAUGAGAAAACAUUUGUCUUUAUGCAAAUAUUAUCAAAUAUAGUACAAUUUGUUCUUUAAAAAAUCAAAUAAUAGCAAAUGGAUACUGUUAUUGCAGCCAGUGAGAGAAAGCAAGAAAUUUGAUGCAAAAGAUUUUUUCCAUCAGAGGAUUCAGCAUUUGCAAUGGUUACAGCUAUGGACUCUUAAUGACUUGCAUGGGAUAUUGAUUCAAAUUGCCUUAAACAUAGCAGGCAAAAAACGAUUACAUUAAGGAAAAUUAAAUUUAAACACCAUGACUCUUACUGCCAAUAAGUGGAAGCUCUUGGACAGCAAAGCAGAAAAUACAUCAUCUUUAGGUUUUCCAGAUUUGCCAAGUGUAAAAUUGGCAUUUGUUGCUGCUCUUGCAUGUAGUGGCAGAGUUAAUUGCAAUAGUUUGCUGGGUUUACUAUAGUAAAUCACAAAACUAAACUUUGUUGAAGGUUUCACAGCUUUGCCAGUGGGCAGUUGUUUACUACAUAAUUCAAAUGUAUGGUAAACUUUGAAGGAUUCUAAUCUCUUUUAUAAAAAUAGAACCCCACAAUCUAAAGAUGUUCUUUGCUUGCCUUUCAAAGCUAGGUAAUUGCAUGUUACACGCUCCUCACAUUUAACAGCUGGUGUUUCCUCCAACUCUGAGGAAAUAAUUUGAAGUGUCUCAUUUUUUUAUAGGGGAAAAAGCAUUUUGGCACUCAAUUAAAGAAUACUGAAAUACUUCACAGAAUAUAAAGUCUGCCCACAGAAUAAGGCUCUUAUCUAAACAAGUUUUGCCUCUUAUUUUAGAACCUGUCAAUACAUUAAGGCAAAACUCUGUGUUUGAAUCACCUGAGGGAGACUUUCCUGUAGAGCAUGAGUUCCGUUAUAAAGCUGUUGAAGUCAUAGCUGACAGCUAUGACUGUUAACACUUUAAGAGUUAAAGUGUUAAGUAAAAUUUUUCAAUGAAGAAAAGUCUUCACAGAGGGGUUGUCCUCUAACUUACCAGAAAGACUAGCUCUGAACAAGCUACAGGGCAGUUUGCAAGAUAAAGCUUGCCUUGCUCUAUAGGCUAUGUCUAUGUCUACAUGAACUGAGUACCCUGCAGUUGGUGUUUCCCUGAAAAUCAGUGUCUCCCAGCCUUAUUUGCUUUGUAGCCACCCUGAACAAAGCUUAAGUCAUUUUGCGUGUCAUUCCCAUCUGAAUCUGAAGCCUGGCCUUGGAGCUGCUCCUGCACAGCAAAGGGACACAAACAUCAAUCUGUGAGUUUAAAAAAAACAUAAAGUACACUUUUACUGCCUUGUUGGUAGUCCUAAUUUUAGUCUCAUUUUUACCACUCUAGAGAGUGAACUUUACCUUGGCUAGAAACUUUGCUUCUACAUGUCUCACGCCCUUGAUCCUUGUCUUAAAAGAAACCCCAGAAAAAAAAAAUAUUGUAUCCCUACCCAUUAUGACCAAAUAUCACCAAAACCUGCUUUAAAAUAUAGCCACUUAUUCCUGUCUCUUGGUUGCAGUGGUCUCAAAACAAUGGUAAAAAUAUAGUAAACAAAAGUUACUUUGCUUUUAGGGGGCUUUCACUUGGUGUGGAAAACUGCAAAUAUUUUAAUGUUCCAACAGCAUGAGUGGUUUAAACAUGAGGUGUUCCUCCAGAAACACAGUAGGUUAUGUUAGGGGCACUGCUUAGUUUAAACACACCACCAUCCUACCAAUGCAGUCAUAUGUUUUAUGGGCUUAACAGUGGAGUUUUUUCCCCACUGUAUAGUAAGUGAUUGUCAAACUGUAUAUUAUAACAGGCUGUGUGUGAAAAUUAAAUGACCAUGACAAGUCAGGUAUUUACACUCACCAUCAAAGAGGAGGCACACCUGCAUGUAUAUUUUCUCCAUGUACAGGGUAAUAAAUGUAUCUAGAGAAGUUCCGUAUGUUUCAGAAACAAUUUGUUCGUCAAAAGCUAACUGCAACAGAGAACAUUUAGUUAGCUAAAAUGUCAUAUCUUGACUGAAGCAGUUUUCAAGAUUAAAGGUUUUAGAAAAUCUCUUGGGAUACAUAGGGAAUACUCAGUGAGCUUCUCAGUGACUGGAAAUAUUCAUAAAGGAUGCCUCUACCCAAGAUUUGGUCCAUCCUUGAAAGCUAUAUCCAGGUUCAUCAGCUGUUCAGAUAUGCAGUUAUUAAGUUACAGGGAAUACCAGAUUUCUCAAUGAACACACAGAAGAUUCUGAAGUUAAAUUAUAAUUUGGAUAGACAUAACAAAAUUUCUGUUAUCAUUGAUUUUACCUGUUUUGAAAUGUAGCAUUACAUUGUAUAUUCUUGCCACACCCAUUUGGCAAACAAAGAACUGAUGAACUUUGUCAAGGCACUGGAUUGCUAUCAAGGUACCAGAUGCUAUGACGACAAAGAAGUCCAGGAAUAGUGAGAACUUUCUCAACAAAGCUGCAAGAGUUAGGUUGUCAGUUGGUGUCUUGAUAUCCUCAGUUGGCAGAAGGUUGACUCAUGACAAACAUGGACUAUCAUCUCUCUAGUAAACAAGAGAAAAUAAGAGAGGACUCAAAUUCACUUCUGAAUCCUCUUAAAAGUAGAGUAAGUUUACCAUCUCAAAAAUAACUAUUCAUAUUUACAGUAAAGAAAGUGGAUUGGCCAGUGACUGGAGGUUAUUUCACAGAAUCCAUAUAAAUAUUGGUAAAAAUGAACUUGAGAAUUUAUACUGUUUGAAUCGUGCGAAGGAUGGCCCUGGUCCAGGCCAACCAGCACAGUCCCAAAUCAAUGCCUGUUAGGACCUUGCACAGGCAAGGACCAUUUCAGCAGUUUUGCUGCUGAUAUCUGAAUGUAAACACCUCUUUUCUUUGUUAAUAUUAUCUCCCGCUUUUUAAAUCUCUAUCAUGCGUCAAUUGAGUAUAGCAGUCAAUGAUUUUAUUUAGAGAUCAGGAUUUUAGCAAGGUUCUCUGGAAAUAUGGACUCUGAGCUCAGAGUCCAAAUUUGUACCUGGAAUUAUGAAUAUCAGACCGCAGGUUAGCUGUUUCUGUGUUUAAUAUAGAUAUACCACUCUGAUCUCAACAAAUUGUUUCUGAAAUUUGGCUAAGGGCUUCAGUCAUGCAGAUAAACAUUGAAGAUUAUUUUUUAAUGAGGCCUAUUCUGUGGUAGUCUGAAAAAUAUGAUCUGAUUGAACAUCCAGGGAAAGACACUAGCAAAAUGUUAGGUAACUGCAAGAUACCUUUUCAAACUGUUUGAGUAACUAUAUCGUCUUACAUGGAACAUAUCACAAACAGCGAUGGCUUUUAACUACAUUCAGCUUCUUUCUCAUAUUAUUUAUAAAUAAUUAUCCUUGCCCAGAGAACUCAGAGGACAAAAACAAGUGGAAAUGUGAAUGUGUCCUUUUAAAACUUUAUGUUGGCAUGUAGAUUUAUUGCAACAGUAACUACUGUGAACCUUUAUCAGCAGGUUUAUAUAUUAAAGAAAGAAACAGAAUUUUUCUGUGAUCACAGUGCAAGCUGUUUCUUAACUCAGUAUAAAUGUGAGUAUAAACUUGUUGGAAAGCUAAAAAAGUUACUCUAAUUAAUCCCUUAGAGAAUAAUUAGUAGAGCUGAAGAUAUAAAAUUUAAACCUCCCAGGUGGUUUUUUUUUAUAACAGUCUCAUAGAGCACUAAUAAAAGUACUACACUUCUCCUAAGAGCUAAUGCACUUGUAAAAUGACCAGAGCAUAAAAUAUUUGUGUAAUAAUCAGGAGAUUGAAGCAAGAAGACUUUUUAAAUGAAUACCACUUGUCAAGGAGAAUAGAUUCUUAGAUUGGUUCCCUCAAUUUCUCCUGUGUUAACAUUUCUAGUUAUUAUGCUUUAUGAGUCUGUUUUACAAGACAUGAUAAUUUUUUAUUGUAUUUAGUUUUGUUUUAUUUUGAGAGAGAGUGAAUUAAAUUUGGACAGACUUGUGUAUGCUGAUUUAAUUGAGGAUACCACCAUGCUCAAGUUAAUCUGGGUGGUUCCAAAACCGAGGUCAAAGAAGUACAAGUGACCAAAAUAUUAUUAUUAUUUUUUUUUUAAUCAGCUUUUUUAUUUAAAUGGAAAUUUCCAACAGAAAAUUCAUGAUUUAAAGAAGAAACCCAAACAACCACAUCUAUCAGUGAUACUUCCUUUUGGCUUUUGGAAAUAACAGAAAAGAAAACCAAGACAAAAAAUAUAAAAGUUGUAUUUUGCUGUAUUUGCCUUGAAAAUUUGCAAUGGCAACAAAAACAAGCCUUGCCUUCUCUACUAAGGAGAAAGGUUGUGUAAGAAAAGUGCAGGAAAAAAACACAGUAACUUGACACACUUAUCAGACAUAACAGUCCAAGGAUUUCACCACUUAGGUAUACUUACCUAUAGAACUAAGAAAAAGUGUGUGCAACUGAUGCCUGGUGAUGAAGAUGAAUGUAAGCAUGGAUGUUAAUUUAGUUCUUGUGAGUAAUUUUUUCUCUCUGUUCAACCUAUAUGAGACUUCCUUCUCCCAUCCUCAACCUACAUGCUGGCCAUUUCCCCCUGUGCUGCCCUGCAGAACUCUAAGUACUUCUUGGCAUGGCAGUCGCUGUGAUGCGAGAGCUUCCACCACUCUGGAAGGACCUUAAGCCCUUUUUCUCAACCUUUUAGGUACAAUGUAGCCUAACCCAAAGUAAGUGACCGAUGGGCUUUGGGAAGUUUAUUCAGCAACCUUAAAACUUUCUUUUAAAGCAUCCAAAUAAUUACCAGUAUGUUGAAUGGAUCCUAAUUCUGACAGUGUCUCUGAACAUCUCUUUGACUCCAGCAUUCAGAAGGCCUCUUCUCCUAAACAUCUAGCACAAAGACAUUUGAAGAAAUCAGAUGAAGCUACCGUAUACAUCAAGCUGAGAAAUGAGCAUGCAAGCCAGAAGUAUGUUUGGUAGUGAGUAAAGAAGGAAGAAGACAAUCUCUAACAAUACAGGAAAACAGAAGUUUAAGAAGUUCAGGGUAUCUUACAUAUUUUUUGUCUUUCACACAGACACAAAAUUGGUAAUAAAUUUGCAGGGGUAUGUGUGUGUAUAUUUGACCCCUCAAACCACCCAACUGAGAUUUGUUUUUAUCCUAAAUAUCAAAAAAGUAACUGCCACUUGCAUUAAAUUUUGCUGCUUUAAAAUAAAUUUGGAGAGCAAAAACUGAGGUAUUUUUACUUAUUUAUUUUCAAUACUGUCAGCAAAUGAUGGGCUAUU